rnacentral:misc_RNA from 1 species
CUUACAUGUAUGAUUUAUCAAAAAACUAUGAAUAUUGAUUAUUGUUUGAUAAAAUUGCAAUUUAUAAUUUUUUAUUAAUUAUAAUUUUACUAUUUAAAUUUCAGCCUCACUUGGGGGGUUGGGAGGGUAUGUUUGGGUGGUGGUGAUGGCUUAGUGAUAAUUCCCAAUUUUGGCUACAAAUGAUGACACAAAAUUAUGUAUACUGCCGAAUAGUGAAAUGAUUAACUCGUUACUAUGGUAAUCCAUGCAAAUAUGUUUUGAAUUUUGAUUAGUGGGACUAAACCGAUGCAUAGCAAGUCCAAUUUGAAAUGUUAAUUCUGUAUAUGUCCAUUUCUCUUUUUUGUCCCCAUUCUUUCACCUAUUCUUCUUAUUUACUCAAAUUGCAUAUGCUUUGCUCACACCAUCAAUGUUUUUCUUGCUUCUCUUUGCUUCUUCAAUGUCUUGGUUGAUUCUCGCAGAACUGUUUGGUCUGUUACAAUUAUUUUUUGUUCAAUAUGCUAGAUUGCUUUAUUUUCUAUUCCCUUUCCAUUUCCUAAAAUAUUAGAGUUGACACAAGUGAAAUGUCCAUUUAGUACAGUGAAAAAUUCCAAUCGACAAUUAUAUGAAAAGCUCCUUGCUUGGAGUUAUGUUGUUUGCUAUCCUCUUCUGGCCAAAAGUUAAUAUGCCUGUGUUCCCACACAUAUGCACAUAAACAUAUCUCUUCUAAAUAGAUAUUUUGUUUUGGUCAGAUCUGUUGUUAUGAUGUUCAGAUAAUUGCUAGGUUCGACUGCUUUUAACCAUACCAUGCUACUGGCAAACUGAUGUCUUGAAAACCCUGCAUCAUGGGACUUAGAUUUAUUGUGGAAUUGCAAUUUAAAAUUGCAUCGACUUUGAUUUAUUGUAGAAUUACAUUUUAAAAUCGCAUUCUCAUUAACUUAAUUUUGUAAAUCUGAGCCUGAUGUUGUUUCUACGUUUUGGAUCAUACUAAUGUGUUGUUUUUCAUCUAUAGUUUGACUCUUUCGAGUCUACUGAAAAUCUUCCUGACACCUUGGACAUUGGGGAUGUCUCUGAAUCUGGAUCUUCAGCUGAGUGUUCAUCUGUUAAACUAAAGAAUGUUGUGGGUGAAGCCAGCGCCUCUUCAUCCAGUUCCGCCCCCUCAGAGUCAGUCACUGUCACCUGAUAGACUUGGUGAUUGUUCAGUUCUUCUUCUUUGGUUUUCUUAAAUUUGUGGAUAACAAGUAUAUAAGUAGGAAAUAUUUCAUUUGAGAUGGGAGAGAUUUGCAUAUAUUGCUUGGAUAUGGUUGUGUAGUUCUGAGGUGCUUGUUCCCACUAUACCCUUUUACUUCUUCUGGGUUGUGUCUACCAUGGGUGAAAAGCCCCUUUGAGCGAUAACCAUGUAGGUUAUAAGUAUAAUUCUGAAAUGGAAGUGAUAUUUGGCUUCAUGACAAUGUUUUUUAUUUUGACACGCUUUGC